rnacentral:rRNA from 1 species
UUAUCCGGAUUUACUGGGUGUAAAGGGAGCGUAGACGGCUGUGUAAGUCUGAAGUGAAAGCCCGGGGCUCAACCCCGGGACUGCUUUGGAAACUAUGCAGCUAGAGUGUCGGAGAGGUAAGUGGAAUUCCCAGUGUAGCGGUGAAAUGCGUAGAUAUUGGGAGGAACACCAGUGGCGAAGGCGGCUUACUGGACGAUGACUGACGUUGAGGCUCGAAAGCGUGGGGAGCAAACAGGAUUAGAUACCCUGGUAGUCCACGCCGUAAACGAUGACUACUAGGUGUCGGGGAGCAAAGCUCUUCGGUGCCGCAGCAAACGCAAUAAGUAGUCCACCUGGGGAGUACGUUCGCAAGAAUGAAUCUCAAGGAAUUGACGGGGACCCGCACCAGCGGUGGAGCAUGUGGUUUAA